UUUCAAAUUGAGAGUUUGAUCCUGGCUCAGGAUGAACGCUGGCGGCGUGCCUAAUACAUGCAAGUCGAACGCACAGCGAAAGGUGCUUGCACCUUUCAAGUGAGUG
rnacentral:rRNA from 1 species